AGCUUUGCGCAGAGGCGAUAUCGUAACCAAUGAGGUUUUACCGAGGUGCGAUUAUUGCUAGUUGAAAACUUUAACCAAUACCCCGCCAUGGGGACGUGAAAUACCGUCCACUACGGCAAUUUUUGGAAGCCAGAGAUGGC